rnacentral:lncRNA from 1 species
UGGGUCGAUACGUCUGCUGGUGGGAUAUCAGUACCCGAGGGUAUCAUCAACUCAGUACUCAGUACUUUGGUACUCACAUGAUUUAAUAACAAGCUUUUCCAAAAAUUGUGUGUCUAUAAAUUUUGAAAUCAUAUAGAAACUCCCUCAUGCAAAGUUGAUCUUAGAUGAAUUUGCUCAUGUUUCAGGUAUUUUUUGUCAUAAAGCUCUUCGAAUGUUUUGGUACUUAAACAUCCUCUGCCUACAAAUAUUCGGUUUUGAGCGUUUCUGAUAAAGGUAAAUCCAAAAAAGCGCUUCGGACGCAAGAAACUAUUUAACGUGUUGUUUUUCUUUUUUUUUUAAACGUCUUUAUACUAACUCAAUUUGAUCAGCAUUGAUUGUUAAUUUAGUUUUAGAUACAUAAUUUAAUAUAGUAGUUCUUAUUGGCUUUCACCUAGCUGUUUGUAACUCUCAGGUCUGUUCUUUGUGUCUUUUUUUAAUUGAUGAAUGUAUAAAUACCCUGCCACGUGUGUUUGUGAUUUUGUUAACAGGUUGUCUGCUUUGUAUCUAUCUGAUAAGUUAAGCCCUUUUCAACUGAUUUUUAUAUGUUUUCAUAUGCUGUGCUGUAACACAACUGUCUCAGGUUAGGGGAAGGCUGAGCGCACACAAACAUGUUUAUCCCCGUCAUUUUCUUUGUGUGCCUGUCUCGUUUC